ACUAACUCUAGCCCUUACCUCGAUCAACUAAACUAUUUAACUCUGUUAACUAAAACAUUUACUUAUUUAAGUAUUGGUGAAAGAAACUUUAUUUGAGGAGCUAUAGAAACAGUACCGCAAGGGAAAGAUGAAAGAUAAAUUAAAAGUACUAAAAAGCAAAGCUAAACCCUUGUACCUUUUGCAUAAUGAACUAACUAGAAAACCCCCGGCUAAGAGACCUGCAGUCGGGAACCCCGAAACCAAACGAGCUACCUAAGAGCAACUUUAUGAGUGCACCCGUCUAUAUGGCAAAAUAGUGGGAAGACUUUUAGGUAGAGGUGAAAAGCCUAACGAGCUUGGUGAUUGCUGGUUACCCAAUAAAGAAUUUUAGUUCAACUUUAAUCUUGCCCCAAGAAACUAGAAUCCUAAUGCAAGGUUAAAAUAUAGCCUAAAGAGGGACAGCCCUUUAGGAAUGGAUACAACCUUUAGCAGUGAGUAAGGUAAAAUAUUUGAUAACCAUAGUUGGCUUAAAAGCAGCCAUCAAUAAAGAAAGCGUUCAAGCUCAACACUUAAAUCAGUCUAAUUCCCAACAUCUCACCUACCUCCUGCAAUUACAAUUGGGUCAAUCUAUUAAUAAAUAGAUGAGAUACUGUUAGUAUGAGUAACAAGAAUAAUAUUCUCCUUGCACAAGCAUAUAACAACCCGGAUAACCAUUGUUAGUUAACACUCAUAUAAGUGCAUACUCCCACUAUUAAUUCACUUAUUACCCCAUGUUAAUCCAACACAGGUGUGCUUAAAGGAAAGAUUAAAAGAAGUAAGAGGAACUCGGCAAACACGAAUCCCGCCUGUUUACCAAAAACAUAACCUCUAGCAUUAAAAGUAUUAGAGGCAAUGCCUGCCCGGUGACUAAGUUUAACGGCCGCGGUAUCCUGACCGUGCAAAGGUAGCAUAAUCACUUGUUCCUUAAUUGGGGACUAGCAUGAACGGCUAAACGAGGAUUCAACUGUCUUUUACUUCUGAUCAGUGAAAUUGACCUUCCCGUGAAGAGGCGGGAAUAUCAUAAUAAGACGAGAAGACCCUAUGGAGCUUUAGUCCAACUUCUUAGCCUCUACAAUCAACAACCUACUGGCUUAAAUAUAAAGGCAUAAGAUAAGGACUUCGGUUGGGGUGACCUCGGAGCAUAAAAAAGCCUCCGAAUGAUUACAGCUAAGGCCCACAAGCCAAGGCACCUCUAAUCUUAUUGAUCCAAAUAUAAUUGAUCAACGGACCAAGUUACCCUAGGGAUAACAGCGCAAUCCUAUUCGAGAGUCCAUAUCGACAAUUAGGGUUUACGACCUCGAUGUUGGAUCAGGACAUCCCAAUGGUGUAGCAGCUAUUAAAGGUUCGUUUGUUCAACGAUUAAAGUCCUACGUGAUCUGAGUUCAGACCGGAGUAAUCCAGGUCGGUUUCUAUCUAUUUACGAUUUCUCCCAGUACGAAAGGACAAGAGAAAUGGAGCCUCCUUAUCAAAAGCGCCCCCAAACAAUUCAUGAGUACAUCUCAAUGAAGUAAAUCCGUACAACCCUCCCCAAGACAAGGGUU
rnacentral:rRNA from 1 species